UACACUUAACCAAUAUUUAUUUGUUAUAAGUAUUUUGUUUUUUCCUUUUUGUCUUUCAGUUUGGGGAAGAGGAUUCUGGGGAAGAAGAAACAAAAGAUAAUACCAUUUUUUAUAAAAGACAGGAAAUAAAUAUCCAGAGGGCAGUCCUACUCGGAGUCUCUCUUUGGCAUGAUGCAGCAAUCAGAGAUGAUGGUGUGGAAGAAACUGAAGCAAAUAGAAGUUGAGUGAUUCACCCAGAGUCCCAUUGCAAGUACAUCUGAGACAAGAUCUGAACUCUGGUCUUUCUAACUCCAGGCCCUGCCAAUCAACAUAUUGAAAAAA
rnacentral:lncRNA from 1 species